rnacentral:lncRNA from 1 species
AUGUCUUCAUCUUUGCAAUUUUGCUCCCUCUUUAUGACUCCAAACUUCCAUCUCAUUCUCUCUGGUAACAGGCCCCAAACCCAUCUGGCUCCAUCUCUGCCAGAAACCCCUUCACCCCAAGCUUCUCUCACUUCUCGCCAGGCACCCACAAAGCCCCCAGGCAGCUCCAUCUUUCCAAUCCAAUCCCAUUAUCCCAAUCUCUACCCCAGGAUCCCCCAAACUCCUCCCACUUCACCUCUGCCACAGACCCGGUCGCCCCCAAACUUCAGCCUCCCCUCAUCUGCCCUCACCACCCACAGCCCCUCCUACCUAGCCCUCUCCCGCGCCCGGCCCGCGGGCUCCCCACAUUCCGCCGCGGCGAGCCCUCCCCGCGCCCCGGCCCCCUCGGCCUCGGCCUCGGCCAACUCGCGCGGCGCCUCCCCUCUCCGGCUCCCCCUCCCCCCACUCGCGGCUUGCCUCGCGCUCCCUCCCUCGCGUCUCCCUCCUGGCCCCUCUCUCCUCCGUUCCUCCGCGCUCCCUCCUUCUCCCUCUUCCUCGCUUCUCCCAUCCCCCUCUCCCAGGCUCCCUCCCUUCGCCGUCCGCUUUCCUGUGCUAGUCGCCGGACGCGUCGCCCAGCCCGUCUGCAGCCCCGGGCCGGGCCGGGGCCUCCGGCCGGGCCAUUUCGGAGAGACCGCGGCCUCGGGGAGGGGCCAGAGGGGGGCGAGGGGGCCGGCCGCCCGGGAAGGGGCGGGGGCCGCGGGCGAGGCGGCCGAGGGGCCCGGGAUCGCGCGGGUGCGGGCUGCGCGCGGCGGGCGGGGGCGGGCGGGGGCGGGCGGCGCGGCCCGGGGCAUUCCGGGCGGCCGGGGGGAGGAGGCAGCCCGGGGAGGUGGGGAGCAGAGCGGGGAUCCGGGUUUGCUCCGGGGGCCGGGCGAGGGAAAGGGGGGAUGGGGGCCGCCCUCCGGGGGUGUCGAGGCCGCAGCCGUCGUCUUCGCGGCUGCGACUGAAGCCCAGGAGAGGAGAGGGGGGCGGGGGAGUCGCCGCCGCCGCCCCCCGGAGGCGCCGGAGCCCGGAAUCCCGCUCGCAGCCCGCCAGCCGUCCCGAGCUAGCAGCAGGUAA